UCCCUCUUAGCUCAGUUGGUAGAGCAUCUGACUGUUAAUCAGACUGUCGCUGGUUCGAGCCCAGCAGAGGGAGCCA
rnacentral:tRNA from 1 species